AUUCCAUUUUGUUCAUGUCAUCCGGGGUCGUCAGUAUCAGAAAUCCUAAAUUUCAGUUUAAUUUCAUAUUUUAGCAUUGUCACAAUGUGUUCAUUUACCAUAAAUUUUAAUAAAAUCUAAAGCUACUCACCAAGUGAGAAUAUAGGAUUGUAAUUUCAUUAUUGUAUGGAGUGUCAUGUGGAGGGUUUGAACAUCAUAAAGGUAGGGUGUCAUACUGGUAGGGGUGACAUGAUGGGAAGGUGUGUCAUGAUGGUAGGUGUGUCAUGAUUGUGGGUGUGUCAUGAUGGUAGGUGUGUCAUGAUUGUGGUCAUGUGGUUGUCAUGAUGGUAGGUGUGUCAUGAUUGUGGGUGUGUCAUGAUGGUAGGUGUGUCAUGAUGGUAGGUGUGACAUGAUGGUAGGUGUGACAUGAUUGUGGGCGUGUCAUGAUGGUAGGUGUGACAGUGGAAAGAUGUGUCAUGCUGGUAGGUGUGACAUGAUUGGUAGGUGUCAUGAUUGAUGGGUGUGUCAUGAUGGUAGGUGUGACAGUGGAAAGAUGUGUCAUGCUGGUAGGUGUGACAUGAUUGGUAGGUGUCAUGAUGGAUGGGUGUGUCAUGAUGGUAGGUGUGACAUAAUGGAAAGAUGUGUCAUGCUGGUAGGUGUGACAUGAUUGGUAGGUGUCAUGAUAGAUGGGUGUGUCAUGAUGGUAGGUGUGUCCUGAUUGUGGGUGUGUCAUGAUGGUAGGUGUGUCCUGAUUGUGGGUGUGUCAUGAUGGUAGGUGUGUCCUGAUUGUGGGUGUGUCACGAUGGUAGGUGUGACAGUGGAAGGAUGUGUCAUGCUGCUAGGUGUGACAUGAUUUGUAGGUGUCAUGAUGGAUGGGUGUGACAUGAUUUGUAGUGUGUCAUAAUGGAUGGGUGUCAUCAUGAUGGAUUGAUGGAUGUCAUGUAAAAUCUGCCAUGGUGGAAAGGUGUGUCAUGAUCAGAGGUGUGACAUGAUGGUUUGAUGGAUGUCAUGUUAAGUGUGUCAUGAGAGGUGUGUCACCAUGGUGGCUGAGAAUGUACAAGUAAAGAAGAGCAGCCCAUGAAAGAGUGUUCAAAUAUUGCUAGGAUAACUGGCUCAGAGGCAUCACUCUGGGAGGACAAGUCUCUCGUGGAUCAACUUCACAGAUGAGAUGGAACAUGAAUAUGUCUUUGAACGGCAUUUAGAAGUGAUACACAUAAAGCCCAGAAUUUAUGGAUGUAAACUUCUUUAUUUUAGGAUCACCAUGUUUCGGAGUAUAUCCUUACUCCUUCAUGAGGUAGAACAGUAAGAAUAUACUCCGAAAUGGCAUGUUCCUCAAAUGAAGAAGUUGACAUCCAUAAAUUCUUGGCUUUAUGAAUAUGUCGCUGCCCAAUGUCCAUUACCAUUUCUUCAUUGGUCAAGCAUCCAUAGUGGUUUUUUUGUGCAGACAGAUGUCCACCCCUGCAGAUAUAGUGUUUGUUUAUAUGUACUGGAGAAGAUCUGUCCCAAGUUUUCCUUUGUUGUGAUAGAUAUAUGCAAACCAAAACCAUAUACCAUGUAGAUAUUUAUUUUGAUUCAGAUGUAACAGAUUCUGUGCCCAAUCAUAUAUGUUGUCGAAAAUCCUUUGACAAACAUAAUGAUCCAAUUGAAAACGUGAAUGACUUCCUAAUGAGGUACUGUCAUGAUCUCGGGUUGCAGGUAUAUUGUUGAAACUUUCUUGAUCACCAACUUAACACUAUGAAAUAAGGCAGCAUUAAAUAUCAUAUAGUGCUACAUAAUGAAUACCAUUUAAAUGUUGUUGUGACCAUUUGUAGUGUUAACUGACUUGUACGUGUGAGGAUGUGAUACUGUGGUAUCGCAAUGUGAUUGUAAUAAUCUUAUGCAAAUAUGAUGAAAAAUGUUGCAAAUUGUUUUGAUGUAUUACAGAUGUAUGCUGGAGAUACCUGGUUUGGAGUUGAAUGUAUAUUACAUAACGGGCACAUGGUCUGCAGCAAUAUGACACUGUCAAUGCCACAUGUCAAGUCAUGUUUUGUUUUUUACCAAGGUUAGACACCUUUGGUCAAUUUCAGCUAGUCUGCAGUUCAUUUCAGACUAGUGUCUCAUGUACAUAACUCUGAUUUGUGCUAGUCUUGGGCUAACAGGCUAGCGGCCAUGUCUGUCCAUGCUUGUGGUGUUCAAAUAAUUGGAAAGACAUUUCUUGAGAGCCACUAUGAUGAUCUGGACAUUGGAUAUUGGUUUCCAUUCUAUAUGAAACAUAUUGGGAGUUGUAAUUGUUUUAACGUAAUCUGCUUCAAGAUGAAACAUAUACUGAGUGAUUUUCAAACACCACUAAAGCAUUAUAUUUUAAAUAUAAAAAAUAUAUAACUUGAGAAUGACCUUUGGUUAUUUCUUGAGAUAAACGUUGAUUUUAGACUUUUGGGGAUAACCCUGCAAAAUCCUUUGGCAGGUGUUGUGUUUUCUGUUGUGUUUGAAUGGGCAACAGCUCAGCCAAUACUCACUGGCAGUAGAGGUGUCAUGUUCUGUGUUCACAACUAUUUCCUCACUCGUAGUUAUGUUUUUUAGCUCACCUGACAGAAAGUCAAGGGAGCUUUUAUCAUGGCCUGUUUGUCUGGGGUCCAGUGUUAACAUCUCCAUAGAAACCACUGAAUGUUUUCACUUACAUCUUCUCACUUAUGACAACAUCCUAAUUUUUUCAAGUGGAUCCAAUUUUAAUAUAUAUGUUUACCUUUGCCCUCCGACUAGGUUCCUAAAUUCUCUUGAAAUGCAUUCCCUCUACUGUAAUCAUCCCCUGAGACCAUGGGACCAAUAAAACUCCAUAAGACUUUUUUAACCAAUGAUGUCACCUGAAUUUCUUCAUUUGGUUCAAAUCCAAUUUCAUUAUGGCCACCACAGCAUCUAUUUAAGAAAUCAAAUUAUAGCUGUUAUUUUGACAUAUUUUUGGUCUUUGAUUAUUAUUCUCAUAUAUGUGAAAAUAUGUUGAUAUACAUAUUUUGCCCAGUAAAUAACUUUGAUGAAAUUUAGGAGCUGAAGUUUGGCAUAUGUGUGCCUCCUGAUGAUGGCAUCAUAUUUUGUUCAAAUAUUUACAUCAUGGUUUUAUUUGUAGUUUUCAGCAACUUUUCAGAAUUGGCUGUCUUUUCUGACAUUUUAAACAGUUCGCCAUAUAUCCAGGUGAGCUAGAAUCCUGAAGCACAAUACUAAGUGUUCAUUUUGGUCUAUAUUUCUACAGAUAUCAUUCUAACAUGCUUUGUAUGUUUACACACUACAUUCUAUCAUUCCAUUGUCAACUUAUCACUGUUCAUUUUAAAAAAUAAAGUCCUAAGGAAGAAGAA